rnacentral:rRNA from 1 species
GGCANNCCUUACNCAUNCAAGUCNAUNUACCUAGAUUGAGCGAGUGGCGAACGGGUGAGUAAUACAUCGGAACGUGCCCUGUAGUGGGGGAUAACUAGUCGAAAGAUUAGCUAAUACCGCAUACGACCUGAGGGUGAAAGGCCUCAUGCAUAGGAGCGGCCGAUGUCUGAUUAGCUAGUUGGUGGGGUAAAGGCCCCCCAAGGCGACGAUCAGUAGCUGGUNNGAGAGGNCGAUCAGCCACACUGGGACUGAGACNCGGCCCAGACUCCUACGGGAGGCAGCAGUGGGGAAUUUUGGACAAUGGGCGAAAGCCUGAUCCAGCAAUGCCGCGUGUGUGAAGAAGNCUUCGGGUUGUAAAGCACUUUUGUCCGGAAAGAAA